AUUGAACGCUGGCGGCAGGCCUAACACAUGCAAGUCGAACGAGUGGCGGACGGGUGAGUAAUGCCUGGGCAACUGCCUGAUGGAGGGGGAUAACUACUGGAAACGGUAGCCAAUACCGCAUACCAUCGGAUGUGCCCAGAUGGGAUUAGCUAGUAGGUGGGGGAAAGGCUCACCUAGGCGACGAUCCCUAGCUGGUCUGAGAGGAUGACCAGCCACACGGGGAAUGAGACACGGUCCAGACUCCUACGGGAGGCAGCAGGGGGGAAUAUUGCACAAUGGGCGCAAGCCUGAUGCAGCCAUGCCGCGUGUAGGAAGAAGGCCUUCGGGUGGUAAAGUACUUUCAGCGGGGAGGCGGUACCCGCAGAGAAAGCACCGGCUAACUCCGUGCCAGCAGCCGCGGUAAUUC
rnacentral:rRNA from 1 species